GUUCAACCCGGGGGUUGAAAUUGCAACCCUGCUUCAGCAGGGUUGAAAUUUCAACCCCGGGGUUGAAA